GCUUGGAGGCGGCUUGAGAACCAGAGGGAG
rnacentral:sRNA from 1 species